AAUUUUGAGGGUAUUGAAAAAUAUUGAUGUUGGGAUUAACAAUACCAAAACCUCCAUCGAUCAACAAAUUAUGGCCACUCACAUACCUACUUUCUUCACUACCCAAAAACAAAGCUGCAUUGGCCACAUCCUGAGCCUUAAGCGUGACUCCUUUCAGAUUCGCCAUAGAGUUCAUAGCCAUCUCAAACUCCUCGCCCUCCAACCCCACAAACUUCGUCGCCAACGGCGUUACCAAUGCAUACGGCGACAAGCAAUUCACCCUAAUCCCAAACUGCCCCAACUCCACCGCUGCAUUCUUCGUCAAUCCCACCACUGCAUGCUUUGAGCAUGUAUAAGCAUGCGAUGCAGAGCCACCGACAUACGAUG
rnacentral:misc_RNA from 1 species